GUGGAAGAACUGCUGAAGCACCUCACUGAGGUGAGCAUCCGCCAGCAGCAAAUUACGGAGCACAUGGCCUCCUGACAAGGGGAAACUGAACGCGAGCUUGCUGCGUUCCGCAUCGCCGCUGCCCAGCGAACUCCGCUACCCGACCCCUGUGUCCAGGCCACGCAGUUGCUGCCAAAGAUGACGGUGCAUGAUGAUGUAGCAAUGUAUCUCCAAAUGUUCGAAACUAUUGCCGCCCGGGAGGCGUGGCCCAGGGAUGAGUGGGCACGGAUUGUGGCACCGCUCUUGAUGGGAGAGGCGCAACGGGCGUACUUUGCACUUACAUCGGAACGGAGUGCUUCCUAUGAGGAAUUGAGGAAGGAGAUCCUGGGCCGGGUUGGGCUAUCGCCGAUCAGCACCGCUCAACUCUUCCAUGAGUGGACCUUUGAUCCGUGGCAGCCGGCCCGGGCUCAAGCCGCCAACCUCUCUUGCCUUGCCCAACAUUGGCUACUGGCCGGGGGUCCCACCGCACACCUUGGCUGGCAGGCUGCGCUGUGCACACCGAGAACGUGCCGCGGGCAGAAGUGAAAAUAAAUGGCCGCCCAUUCCUCACCCUCCUAGACUCCGGCAGCGCGGUCAGCCUGGUAAAAACAACUGUCCUGCCCCCACGAGCCGAAACCAAGGCGAAGCUGCCCAUAACCUGUGUGCACGGCGACACAAGAGAAGGCGCGGUGCGUCACUAUCACAGCGCCGGUGGAAGUUGGACUCGUCAAGGAUCUGCCUGUCCUGGUCCUUCUCCCCACCACUCAGCCUGUCAGCCCUGCCGGGAACCGCCCAAAACGGAGGACAACAAAGAAGCCCCAACAGCACCCCGUGUUGUUGGCCUCGGACAGCCCCAAGGAAGCAGGUGACUGGGGCCGGGGCCUUUGCCAAGGAGCAACAUGAGGAUGACCGCUUAAAACACUGCUGGGCCCAAGUGAGAUGUCACCAGAGAGGCCUGGGAGCAACAACCGGUGGUACACAGUGUGUGACCGCCAGCCCCACCACGAAGGGAGAGCACAGACCCACACAGCACAGUGCACCACAAGAGGAGAGCGAGAAGCCGAGCACCAAACGCCUCACGUUAGCCCUUUUUUCCCCAACACCUCACCAAUAAAAUCCACCCUUUGGGGAACUUACCUGCAUCCUUGUGUGGUGUGCUUCACCCUGUCACAUUAUUUUUUUUUUUAAGUUUUCUAUAGAUAUCGCAGUAUAUUGUUAUAGUGAAUUUUUGUUGCCAUGACAAUCAUGUAGUGAAAAAUCUGAUAUUGUGACAGCCCUAAUCUAUACAUAGGGAUCAGGUGGAAAUCAAGUUACUGGAGGAAGUGCUUUAAUGGACUGGAGUGGUCUGAAGUGACGGUUUAAAGUUAAAAUGUCUUGAUGGAUUUGUUAUUUAUAAACAUUUGUUAUUUAUAAACAUGCAGCUUUUUACUUCACAGGAUGAUAAUUGAUAGACUGGAGUCUUGUGGAUUACUACUUGUGUAUUAUUGUGAUUAAUUUUAUCAGCUGUUUGGACUCUCACUCUGCACCCAUUCACUGCAGAGGAUCCAUUGGUAAGCAAGUGAUGAAGUGAUGUUACAUUUGUGUUUUGAUGAAGAAACAAACUCAUCUACAUCUUGGAUGGCCAGAGAGUGAAGAAAUUUCAGUUUGGGUGAACUAUGAUUUAUGUACCAAAAACACUUUGUUACGCCAUGUACAGUUUAAAUACUAAGUGAUAGAAAAUUUAUUUUACUUUUUUAUUUUAUUUUAGGCUGCAUUCAUUUAAUGUGACAUUUAAAAGACAAAUAUUCAGUAAUAUUUUCAAUUUGACUGCACUGACACUAUCUGACGAGAACAAAACUUGAACUGAAUUGAGCUGGAUGGUGAUACUAUUGUUUUCUGCAGAGCUUCCCAACUCUGAGGUUUGAGUUUUCAACUGUCAGUGUACUUGAAAGAGGCAGAAAAUGCCCCCGAUACUACCUGGCAACCCUCCUGUUCUUGUUUCUGCAAUGGAAUUCCACAUAGCUUUGUGCCUAUGCUUGGGAAUCAGUUGUUGCCCCAUUUCCAGAAAACUGAAACAUUACCCAUUUUUACCCCAUUUCUUUCAGUUUUACAUCAUACACUUUUGGCUCAGAUAAAAAUACUAUCAUGUACCCACGGCAAGGUUACGUCAUUGUCCUGUUGAAACUAACGUGACCAUAGCAGAGGAAGGAUGUUGCAAGGGCAGCUCUUUGUGCAUAUACCUCCUAUUCUUUGGCUCAGAUUUCAGAUGUCAGCAUCUUCUAAGGCAGCUCAACAUGCUGUGCCACUAUAGUAAUAAAACCAUCCCAAUAAAUUCCUGCAAACUUGCACAAUUCAUGCCUCCAGAGACAUACUUGACUUUAGGAGGUAAACAAGAGUGACAAGCUCAAAGCUAUUGAGCUUUUGCACAUUAAAAAAAGCGGUGAAGUGUUUAGAAGAUGACAAAUGAGAAAAAUCCCUUUACACCGAUAAGAAAUCUCCUAUCAAGCUUUCUCUUUCCAUUUUCCAUAUUUCUGUCUAGUUACAUCACUGAACCUCCUUGAAAUGAAAUGGAAGAAUGUCAAGCAAGCACAUUCAAAGAAAAACAGCCAGCAUCACAUAUGUUUUAAGCAUGUGCUUUAGAUCUGAGGUGGUUCUUUUUUUGCAGGAAUACAUACUAUAUGAUUCAUUUGUCCACUGCUGAAAGAAACUAGCCCCUGAGAGCAAAGCUGCUCCUUCUGCUGCCCUGCAGGAUGAUAACUUCAUUUUUAUUGACUUCAAAUGAGUUUCUGUGUCCCACUCCAAUGAGUCACAGGCCUAUCACUCCUUUAGAAGUGCCAUUUUAAAGGCAGUCAGCCCACAUGUUUGCUUUUCUAAAUAAUGACUCUUGUGCAUAGUUGUUUACAAUGAAUGACACUAAUGACAAAUCCUUUAAAAGUAUAUUACAUCACACAGAUGCCUUCUGUUGUCUUCAGUUCUUUUAUUAAAGAUCAGCUGUGUUGUACUGUACUCAUUUUAAAAUGCCCACAACAAUAUGAAAAAGAAAAUCUUUUCCAAAUGACAACAAACCUCAUUUUACCUUUCACAGGUCCAGACAACACCAUUUCAUGCAAUGGAGGCAGAGAAAUCAAAGAAUAAUUGACCAGGACUGGUCCAUUUAUUAGGGAAAAGGCUGUGGCAUGUCUGUUUGAAUAACUAUUCGGUUUUUAUUGACUCAACAAGAAAGCUGAUCUCAUUCUGCUUCGGUUCUAUAAUGCAUAAAUUCCACAGAGAUUGAGAUUAAAUCUAUUUAUUUGACUUUGAUUCAUGGAAUUAAAUUUCCGAGGCAAUUCCUAUUCUAUGAUAUUCAUUUAAUUGGUUCAGUUUCCUAGGAUGGAACAUUCUCCUGAAAUCUCACACAGAUCAGUGGUUUUCAACUGGUUUUGCUUCAUGACCUCAAUUUUAAAUUGGAUCAAGUGGCAACUCAAUGCAGUGUCACAACUGUUGACUCUGUUUAAUUUAUAACUGUUGCUGGUCAUAUUGUGAAUGAUUAAUUUUGUAUUUUAUUCUAAGAG
ensembl:lncRNA